UAACAUGGAUUUUAGUUGACUAAAACAAGCUGUUAGCAGACAAGUAAAGUUAACUAGCUAGCUACCAAACUUCCAAAGCAGUUGGCUAACGUUAGCUAUCGAACGUUAGCUAGCUAACCAAGCAUAGUAAAAUACAGCAAAGGAGACAAGCGGCUAUUGAUUUUUAAAAAACGUUAUUGAUACAAUUCGUUUUUGGGACCUGCCGGAAGUCUCUUUGUGCAAGGGAAUGAUGCAUCACCAAAUGAGGGCAUGGAUUUCCAACAACUCAUGUCAUAGCCAGGCUGAAUCAGAUGCCGGUCUACAACACGGUGGCUGAUAUGGACGAAAGACUGAUGACACAAGUAGCUCAACUAGCUAUUCCAACAACAACAGCAGCAGCUACAGCUAAGCACUUCUGCAGCGACUGCACUUGAAAGGAUGAUGGGCGAUCGUCAGUCAAAAAGGAAUGAGCUAUCCCGGGCAGUAAGGGAUCCACACAUUAAUGCUGGUGAGGAGGACAAAUAUAGUAUAAGCCGCAAGAAAAGUGAAGACAAAUGUGAUCACUUAUGACUUGGAAUUUGACAAUAGUGUUUUGGGGGGAAAAGUCCAACCAAGCAAUCAGGGAACAAGAGUCCGCACAACACCUGUGUACUGUCUGCUGGUCAGUCAGCUGAGAUGAAGGUGCACAGAUGGAGAGUGGCGCAUGGCAGAAUUUGAAGGCGAGUAGUCCUAUGAAGACAUGGACUGACUG